rnacentral:rRNA from 1 species
UCACCAGACUCCUACGGGAGGCAGCAGUGGGGAAUAUUGCACAAUGGGGGGAACCCUGACGCAGCGACGCCGCGUGGGUGAAGGAGCACCUCGGUGCGUAAAGCCCUAUCGGCAGGGAAGAAACAGGCGGUACCUGACUAAGAAACCCCGGCUAACUACGUGCCAGCCGCCGCGGGAAUACGUAGGGGGCAAGCGUUAUCCGGAUUCACUGGGUGUAAAGGGAGCGUAGACGGCGACGCAAGUCUGGAGUGAAAGCCCGGGGCCCAACCCCGGGACUGCUCUGGAAACUGCGGCGCUGGAGUACGGGAGGGGCAGGCGGAAUUCCUGGUGUAGCGGUGAAAUGCAUAGAUAUCACGCAGAACUCCGAUUGCGAAGGCAGCAUACCGGCGCCCAACUGACGCUGAAGCACGAAAGCGUGGGUAUCGAACAGGAUUAGAUACCCGGGUAC